GACGAACGCUGGCGGCGUGCUUAACACAUGCAAGUCGAACGGAAAGGCCCUGCUUUUGUGGGGUGCUCGAGUGGCGAACGGGUGAGUAACACGUGUGUAACCUGCCCUUGACUUUGGGGUAACUUCUGGAAACUGGGGCUAAUACCGGAUAGGAGCUCCUGCUGCAUGGUGGGGGUUGGAAAGUUUCGGCGGUUGGGGAUGGACGCGAGGCUUAUCCGCUUGUUGGUGGGGUAGUGGCUUACCAGGGCUUUGAAGGGUAGCCGGCCUGAGAGGGUGACCGGCCACAUUGGGACUGAGAGACGGCCCAGACUCCUACGGGAGGCAGCAGUGGGGAAUAUUGCACAAUGGGCGGAAGCCUGAUGCAGCAACGCCGCGUGCGGGAUGACGGCCUUCGGGUUGUAAACCGCUUUCGCCUGUGACGAAGCGUGAGUGACGGUAAUGGGUAAAGAAGCACCGGCUAACUACGUG
rnacentral:rRNA from 1 species